AGAACGAACGCUGGCGGCAGGCCUAACACAUGCAAGUCGAACGCUCGUAGCAAUACGAGAGUGGCAGGCGGGUGAGUAACACGUGGGAACCUUCCCUAUGGUUCGGAAUAGCUCAGGGAAACUUGGGGUAAUACCGGAUAAGCCCUUCGGGGGAAAGAUUUAUCGCCAUUGGAUGGGCCCGCGUCGGAUUAGCUAGUUGGUGAGGUAACGGCUCACCAAGGCAACGAUCCGUAGCUGGUCUGAGAGGGUGAUCAGCCACACUGGGACUGAGACACGGCCCAGACUCCUACGGGAGGCAGCAGUGGGGAAUAUUGGACAAUGGGCGCAAGCCUGAUCCAGCCAUGCCGCGUGAGUGACGAAGGUCUUCGGAUUGUAAAACUCUUUUGGCGGGACGAUAAUGACGGUACCCGCAGAAUAAGCCCCGGCUAACUUCGUGCCAGCAGCCGC
rnacentral:rRNA from 1 species